UACGAAGGGGGCUAGCGUUGCUCGGAAUUACUGGGCGUAAAGGGAGCGUAGGCGGAUAGUUUAGUCAGAGGUGAAAGCCCAGGGCUCAACCUUGGAAUUGCCUUUGAUACUGGCUAUCUUGAGUACGGAAGAGGUAUGUGGAACUCCGAGUGUAGAGGUGAAAUUCGUAGAUAUUCGGAAGAACACCAGUGGCGAAGGCGACAUACUGGUCCGUUACUGGCGCUGAGGCUCGAAAGCGUGGGGAGCAAACAGG
rnacentral:rRNA from 1 species